rnacentral:ncRNA from 1 species
GGGCAAAGUAUUGUUGUAAGACUGAAACUUAAAGGAACUGAUGGAAAGGCACCACUAAGAGUGGAGCUGGUGGCUAGGAAAACUUACUAGGUACAAACAUAGUAAGGAUUGAUAGAUUGAGAUCUCUUUCUUUAUUAUAUUGGUGGUGGUGCAUAAACGUUCUUAUUUGUUGGAGCGAUAUUUUUGGUUAAUUUCGAUAAAGAACGAGACCUUAUCCUACUAACUAGCUAUGUGGAGGUUCCCCUUCAUGGAUAGCUUCUUAGGGGGGCUAUGGUCGUUUAGGCCAUGGAAGUUUGAGUCAAUAAUAGGUAUGUGAUUCUCUUACAUGUUCUAGGCCACAUGCAUGCUACAUUGAUGUAGUAAAAAAGGCAUGCACUAGAUUUCAAUAUUUGCAAGCAUUGCCUACGAGUAUGAAGAAAUUCUUGCAAAAGGAUUUUAGAUGAUUAGUCCUUGGGUUGCAGGGAAUUUAUACUCUCGUUUACAUU